UACGUAGGGGGCUAGCGUUGUCCGGAUUUAUUGGGCGUAAAGAGCGUGUAGGCGGCCAUGUAGGUCCGGUGUGAAAACUCGAGGCUUAACCUCGAGAUGUCAUCGGAAACCAUUUGGCUAGAGUCCGGAAGAGGAGAGUGGAAUUCCUGAUGUAGCGGUGAAAUGCGCAGAUAUCAGGAAGAACACCAAUGGCGAAAGCAGCUCUCUGGGACGGUACUGACGCUGAGACGCGAAAGCGUGGGGAGCGAACAGG
rnacentral:rRNA from 1 species